CAGUCACAGCCUUGGGGACACGCAGCUAAGUCUGUCUCAGUUACAAGGGCAGAAAACAGUUUCACCAUGAUCAGGCCAAGAGGGUCACAAACUGUGAGACAACCCAACAACUGGCCUCCGCAGGGGGAAGUGGAAAAAGGAAGUGGAGCAGCCCGCGGCCGGGAGAGAGGGGGCCGCGGGCACAGAGAAGAGAUGCGACCAAGGACUGAGCCCACAGCCUGAAACAAGCAGCACGCAGAGCAGAAGCUGGGCCAAAGGAGAGGAGAGCACAGGGCAGGAACGGCGGGGGUGGACAAGUGUCACAGGGAGGGGAGUCCUGGCUCAAAACGACAUGAGACACGUCUCCUCACCUGAAAAGGGGAAAGAAAAGCUGCUGGAUCUUAGUUAUUAAUAACUUAUAUAAAACAGCGUGUUUUCCUCUCAUGCAUCUCAGGGGAGGAGGAAAGGCCGGCGCUCCGGGCCGGCGUCCGCAGUGACUAGGGGAGACCCGGCCCUCUGCCGCUUUAUUACAUGGAAGCCCCCGUUCUCAUGGUGCUAACGGCGGAGCAUCAGCACACUGAAAGUGGAAGAGACCGAACAGCCACAGACGGCGAAGGCGGGACCUCCACGGAGGAGAAGCCCUGCUGCUGCUGAGGCAGGAUUCCCAGGCGAGGAACCACGACCGGAGCUGACCCGCACACGUUUCACCUGGGUGACGCGCACCUUCGGGGGCUGGAACCCUCCCCUCAGCUGUGCCGGCCUCGGUCCACGUACAUGCCUCGACGUGUGAAAUAACUGCCUCUCCCACCUUUCGGGGGGCCGCUUCCGAGGGGUCUGUCAUACAGCCGGUGACUAACAGGAAGAUGGUGGCUUCUGGGCGAGUCGGAAAGGACGUGUGGGGAUGCUGGCCUCCAGCAGAGGGCAGUGCCACCUCAAGGCGUCUCGUGUCUAGGACAGUCUCCUAUCACUGAGUAAGUGUUUAAUGGCGCCGAAGUGGAGGGCUCGUCCUUACAAGUCACCCUGAGUAUCGACGGGCGGUCCUGCCAAACUAGGUGAGCCCUAGAACAGUCCCUGCCACCCUGCGCCCCGCCACGCGAUCGCAAUGGGACUCCAAGCCUUCAUAGCCAGAAGUGGAGACUAUUAGCCACCAGGACUUGGGAACUAACACUGCCACGCGGAGACACCAGCGGGUGGUGCUCUGCGGCCUCACGGUUUUCCUGAGUUUCCUGAAUGUAAGGAGCAUCUUCAGCUCUGCCCCCGUCUGACCCACCUGGAUUCUGUGCGACUUAACACUUCCGGUCCAACUCAAAGGAAACCCUCGGAGAAGAACACUGGAGAUUCUCGGGACCCAAUUUUCCAUUUGGUUUAAGAUCCUUUAAAAUCUGGAUUUUAACGCACGGUUUCCCACCAAGCAUCACCGUGAAGGAGCCCUCCUCCUCGGCUAGCGUGCCGUGUGGUGUCGCUGGGCCCUGUUUUCAGCUGGGGUAAGUGGGUGCUGAGGGAAUUCCGUUCCACCCACGGGCCAGGUGAUUUUUAUUUACUUCUUAACUGAGCUUCCUCUCAGGGGUGAAACAGCCUGAUAGAAAAGAUGUGAAAGUAAAUAUUGAACUAGUUUUUAAAAGGCCAUGGGUGCCAAGAGGGCCUUCGUGGACUCUCGGUCACGCCCCUUUCCCGGGGCCCUGCUCACCCUGCCAAUUCCUGACUCCGCCCUCCCAGCAACCACUGGGCUUUGUGCUUCUUUUAGAAACACUCGAGUGAAGGCCAUCUUUGAUCCUGCAGAGACUACACGAGUAUCUGAGUAAGAAAGAUGGCACGUGGGGUCUGAGGGGCAUCGCCACACAAUGUAACAGGCUGUCAGUUCGCCUAAGUCCUUUACAGCAAGGAAAGUGACAGGCUGUUGGGUGACCCCUCUCUGCCGCUUCCUUCUGAGCCGUGGGAGUGCCCCCCGUCACAACGGCCCUUGUGCAGGAUGACUGUUGGGGGCCACCAGGAAUUUUGGUUCUGAUUUCAAUGGUCAGCAGUAUUUAAGGGAGAGGGCACCUUUAUUUCCAUCGCAUCACACAUGAGUCCACUCUGAUUGCAGGCUUUGGCCCUGGUCCCUGUAGGAGCCUAUGACAUAUUUUUCCCAGUUUUUCCAGAUUCAAAUGUUAAAUUAAAACAGAUGUGCAAAACUAAAGGAAAAUCCGCCACCAGAAACAUACCCCACCCCUGCACAAAACCACCAGCUUUGGGGAAAACCAGUGUCUGCUGUUCGUCCUUAUCCUCAACUUAAACAAGGAUGGAUUCUCAUCGCUCCUUUUUUCCGGCGGGGGGUGGGGCAGGUAAUCAGGUUUACCUAUUUACAGGAGGCCCUGGGGUUGAACCCGGGACCUAAUCACGCUGAGCGUGUGCUCUGCGGCUGAGCCGUGCCCUCCCCCCACUGCUCCCUAACGCGGGCUGCCUCGGCCCUGAGGGGCUGGGGAGGAGGCGCAGGUGUCAGAGGUUCCUGCGGGGGUCCGCGCGCCCCCGCCUGGGCCACUCCUCGUCCACCCACCUGCGCAGCACCUUCUCCACGUCGGCCCUGCGGUAGAGCCUGCACAGCUCCACCAGCUGGCCCACCGUCCGCUGGCUGUUCCGCAGCAAGAACUCCAGGGUGGGGCUCUGCGGCCUCUGCUCCAGGAAGCAGAGCUCGUCGUAGGGCAUGCCCCACUUGCUCGCAAAGUUCCUCCAGUUUUUGACCGUUGGGUGACAUGGGUCCAGCUUUAUCCUGAUCACGUCCAGUAAGUCCUGGUCGUUGAGCAAGUCGCUGAUGGUGGGGGCCCGGAGGGAGCAGGAGGAACAGGUGCCAUUCUCCGCGCAGGACGCGGCCUGGCUUCUCUCUGCAGAACAAAGAACAUGGCCCACAGGUCAGCGAGGGGCCCGAGACAGCAUCCGUCUCCUCCGUCCUCUGUUCUUCCGCUGCCUGGUGGACAGCGUCAGCACGACUGUAACAGAGGAAUCCUGCAGGCCACCCAUUUCUAGAUACGCACCAACGACCUGGUGUUCUUAACAGCUACCUGGCUGGAAGCAGUGGGAAGAUUUCACAAAGCCAGUUCUCCCCUCUCCCUGAGCGCCUCUGUGGCCUGUGACGUGCGUCUGUGAGACUGCUGGCCAGAACCAGGGCUCCACGGGGCAGAGAUCCCUCCACGGGCAGGGCGCCCGUCCCGCGGGGGCCAGACUCCGCCAUCCCAGCCCGUCCUCGCCCGCACCUCAACCCUGGCCCCUUCUAACUUACAAGUUGGCCCUGACAGGUUUUGAAUGCCAAACACAGCAUGUUAGGGUGUCAAGGAUUGCACGAGUCUCUCAAAUGUCUUUUCAAAAAACAUGGAAAUUGAACUAUCCACUUCCUGUGCAUAUUUGAAAAUAAGUGAUAAGGGAUAAUGCCAGAAAACUUACUUUUUAAAUUUAUGGUCACCUUAUCAUCCCUUUGCCUUUAUCUGUGUUUUCUUCACCCAUGGGGAUGCCUCUGAAGUGGAGCCAGCGCCUUGAGGUGCGUGCAGGGGGCUGGGCAAGCAAGUGGCUUCGAGCUCAGCCUCCCGGGGAAAGCAGCCCCGCCAGAAGGAAGGGCCACCCUCUCCCGUCAGUCACUUCUGGCCCCGCCAGGAGGUACGCGGUAAGCAGGUUAGACGUGAGAGGCCAGGAGGUAAGAGGCAAGUCAGUUAUAAUAAAGUUGUAAACAGGGUCUGCGCAGCAUGGCCACCCAAGUGACUUAAAUUCUGCAAAUUUAAGAAUCUAGGCACUGUAUCUCCUGACCUCUGGCGAGGGAUAUUAGCAGCCAAAGGCGACGCCUGGAGAUCACCAGCUUGGAAAAUUCUAGGAGGUUAUGUGACCUUUACUACACUGAGCCACAGGCUUCCCAAUUUAGGAAAGUAAAGAAUUGGGGAAAAGGCAGGAGAGGGUAUAUAGCUCCAUGGUAGAGCGCAUGCUUAGCAUGCAUGAGGUCCUGGGUUCAAUCCCCAGUCCCUCUGCUAAAUAAAUAAAUAAAUAGCACCUAGUUAUCUCCCUCCCCAAGGAAAAUUUUUUAAAGUCUAAAAAAAAGAAAAAAAAAUCGUGUGUCUAAGAACUGGGAAAAAGGAGUCACUUUGGUGAUUGUAAGGUUGAGAACCAGCAAUCUGGAGGCAAGUACAAAUUAAAAGAUAACAAAACCCGUGAAAAUUAUAUUUAUAUUCUUUGAUCUAUUACUGUAGCUUCUGAGCAUCCAGCCUAAGAAGCUCAUUUAAAAUAUGUAUAUAAACUACGCAUAUAUGAGCAUUUUAAUCACAGUCUCAUCCAUACCCAUUUUUAAAAACAACUUAAAAAUCAAAGUGAGGGGAAUAGGGAAAUAAACUGUUGUACUACUUGACGCAAUAUCAUUUCAGUAAUUAUGACGCCUCUGUAGCCACCUGGGCAACGUCUGUGCUGUCAUGUUAAGUGGAAAAUGCAAGAUGUGAGGCAUUUAGGAACUGAGUAAAACCCGGGGGAAAUUCUAUGCUUCUUUAGCUGUGGAGAGAGGUGUACAAGACAGCCACGGCCAUGGUGCUGAUGUGGUGGGGUUGCGUUUGUUUCCCCAACUUUCUCUCGCGGUGUUACAUUUCUAUGAUAACUAAUACGGAAUUAUAUUUACAAACAUACCAUUUAGUACAGAGAAGACUUAUCAACCGGCCUCCCUCCUCUCUGCCGGGCUUCACACACGCCUUUGAGCCGCCUCCUUCCUACCUCCUCCAUGAUGUGUUUCAUCAAGUAUCUCCUCUCUUGCCCUCACCUCCAGCCACCCGUCCCUACUGAGUCUCUUUCCUUUAUCUACAAAUACAUACGGGGCUCCUCUGUCAUAAAAAGAUAAGAACUUCAAACUGCCCUCCUCUGGCUUCAUAACUGGCUGAGGCCACUAUCUCUUACUCUCCCUUAUUCGCAGUUAGUGAGGAGGCGAACUCAAGACCUGCACCUCCGGUGCCUCCUCAUGGUCUUCGUCUCCUUUGGCUUUGAGUGGCGUCUGGCCCAGCCUCAUUCCCGCCAAACCUCGGCACGGCAGGACCUAGCUCCCUGCACCCCAGCUGUGGGCUAAGGUCUAGUUCUGAUGGAGUGGGGAAAUCCGGAGAGGCAGACCCCCUACCCGACUCUGAGGGUCACCUGGACCUCCUGCUGCUGCGAACACCCCAUCACAGCAGCUCCCCUAGGACCUGGCUGCCUCUGGAACUGGGCCUGGGACUCUUGCCCCUUUGGACACGGUCUACUGCACUGCAGGCUGAGUUUUCCCUGCAGGUUCCUUCUGGCAGCCAAGCCCCACAUCCCCAGGCACAUCCUACCAUGUCCGGCCACGUCCCUUCCCUGGUCUGCCUGACACGCUGAGAUCCCCUCCUGUCUCAUUGCCGAGUCCUUGGGAGGGACCAGGGGGACUCCAGUCCUGUUCUUAGUCCGAGGCUCUCCCCUUCCACAUCCUGUCCGUCUGGUCAUCUCCUCCACACCCAGCAACCUCCACAAAGCGCUCCCACUAGAACGGAAGACCCUUUCUUUUCACAUCUGCAGGACCCAGCACAGCCCUGGGCAUGCAGUGGAUGCUGCCCGCUAACCUGGCUCCAGAACCGACAGCUGGACAGCUCCUCUUGCUGUCCAGAGGACACCGCCAACUCCAAGAACCCGAACCAGUACUUAUGUCUCCCCCUGUGCACCCAAAGCACCUCAGUUCCCCUAUUUACACUCGCAAUCCCCCAGCGUCCUUACGGACUUCUAUCCAAGCAGCCACCACGUCGGAGCCUCCCCUGGAGCUGGCCCUGCCACUCCUCCUGUCCGGCUGCCCAUCACUUCCUUGAACGUCAUCUGUGCUCCAGACAAGCUGGAUGACUCAGGUCCCUAAGCAGACAACCUGCAUUUCUUUUAAAGCCUAAUUAAAUACAUUUUUUAAAAUCUAAUAUAUGCUCAGCAGAGAAAAUUUAAAAAUUAUAUAUGAUUAUAAACUUUGUAUAAACAUGAACAUUGAGGGUCUUCCCACCUUUCUAUGACCAGGAUUAACAAUUCAAUGCAGACCCUUACAUGUACAUUUUUGGCCACAUCUUUAAUCACUUCACCAAUCAUAGGAUUAUUAGGCCAAAAGGUAUGAGCAUUUUAAGGCUGUCAGUGCCCAAGCCCCAGACUGCUCCCGGGAAUAAACGCUGGACCGAUAUACACUCCAGCUGAGCUCGUGAUGGCCCUCAUCAGCACCAAGUAUUGGUUUCAGAAAACUUUGUCAGCUUCACAGGUGGAAAUUGAUGCAGAUCUCGUCCAUGCCUUUUCCCGUGUUUUCCCCGGUCAGUCUUCUCUCUCCCUUUCGCUGAACUUCCCUUCAGCUACUGAACUUCAUCCACCCCGUAACGCCCACCUCAGAGACAACACUCCCAGCUCCUGCCUGGGACGCUGUCUCGCUCAAGUCCCACGGCUUCAUUUGCCCCUCCUGACCCUGCCCUGCAGUGAGACGUCCUGUACAGUCUUCUUACAGGGGCUGUUCCUCACUACACCUUAAACACCCUGAGAACAGGCCCACAGCCUUCUGUAAUGUGCUCUGUGUCUUAGAGUUUUAAAAUGUCGAAUUACACUCCUAUGUAAUACAGUGAAGGUCAUCCUUCAGCUCCAUUAGUAAUGGUGUAUAAAGAACUAAGACUUUGGCCACAUGGUGGGACAUUUUACUUAAAAAAAGGACUUUCUAAUGGUGUAGGUAGUUUUGCAGUAAACGGGGGAAUAAGGGAAAGAAACUGUGCAAUUUUCUCUGCCCUUAUUUAUUAUGAAAAUAAUAUUCAGUCAAGUGGGGAAGAAAGUUCAGCAAAGGGUAUGUAUAAUUCAGUUUUUGUAAAAACAAAUAAUACAGUCAUUCACAUCCAUGUUAUACACACACUCAGGGGAACAGGAAAAAAUCUGGAAGUAGGUACAACAAAAAUGUUAACAAGGGAGUAUUUCCUAAUUUUCUAUAGUUAUUGUGUUUGUUUGGAUACUUUAAAAGUAUUUUUUAAGUUACAGAAAAAUAAAGUGGGGUCUCCACCUCCAAGUCCAGAAUUAAGUGCAUUGGUGUCUGAAGGUCCACCUGUAAUGAACCUCUGUGAGACUCAGAGUCGGCAGUGUCUUCUCCUUCAGCACCAAGAAGAGGAAUGAGCAUCGGGCAGGCAGCCAAGAAGCCCCUCUGAGCCUCCCAGUGCAUGAGAAGCUUGUUUCUCUGAACGACUACGGUGACCAUCUAUCAGCUAGUUCUAAAACACACGAGGUGCCACAAAUCUAUUGGUGCUUUCCUUUUGUUUUUGCCACGACACAAAUGAUAAGCCUCUUACCGAGCUGGAAUCUAUGCAAACUGCCAACAGUCGUGAGUUUAAAGCUGCCUUUUAGAAUCAUAAACUAUAAUUAGCUCUCUGAGGACUUAAGCAGAGAAACAUGCUUCUUUUCCUAUCAAAUGCAUUUUGUCCCGCCCUGCUUUAAACACCUGUCAUGUAACAGUGCACAUGAAAGGACAGACUGGGUGAUGCCUGGGGGAAGAAACAAUACUGGGGAGGGAGAGAGACUUAGGACCAGAGACGUUUUCAUCAGAAAUGGGGAAAAAGGGCUUAUCAUUUGAUGCCUGUCAAGGGGCAAGCAGAGUUGCUGAACAGUAGAAACUUGAAAGCUGUCUGCUCAAUGAAUGAAUGAAUGAGAACUGCGCUUUCUCCUCAGGAGACAAGGUAGGUCUGUUAUUACCAUUUGAUGAAUUUUAGGAUCUGAAGAGAAUUAAUAGUAAAGGACAGAGAAUGAUGCUGCUGUCUGCAGGCAGUUAACAGACAGUGGUGGGCAGUAGAACAGAAGUGGUCUUAAAAUACAAAAAGGUGGAUUCUAGAUUUGGGAGAGGAAGAGAGUGUUCUUGAGAAGUUAAUUAUGUACAAAUAUUCACUGAGAGUCUUUAACAAGUAGGUCCCUUACUUGCCAUGUCUGACACCUGACUUGUGUACUUUCCACUGACGUAAAGCAAGAAUGGAUCACACCGCUGAUGUAGGAUGACUGCUUAUUUUGGAGGAAAUCCCGGAAGGAUCUGCCCUCCGUAAGUUUAGUUUGAGUGCUGGCUCAACCUGAGGAAGAACUCAUCGGAGGAGAGAGGGUCUGAUUUCUCAGUGGUUUUAGUCAUCCCGGGGACUGUCAUUUGCCAAGCACCUAAUGCACAACCAGCCCUGCACUGAGUCCUUCACAUGCGUCAUCCUGAAUCAUCCCAGUUCUGGGUCUGUAUCACACUGGGCUCAUCAAAUCCUGGGCUCCAGCUUCCCGGAGCUUGACUUCUCAUGGCAUCUAACAUCUUUGAACUUCCCAUUCCUCAGCUAUAAUAUGAAGAAGAUAAUAAUGCCUGUAUCUCAUGAAUUAACUGAGACAAAUGAUGUGAAAGCAUUUUUGUCAAGUCAUGUAAGUGUUAUUUAACGACGUCAGAUUUCACAUUUAUUACUUUUUUAAGUAGACUGGGAAGAAAAGAGUCCCCGGGUCGUCUGGCCUCUGCUGACACCUCCCAACUGCUGUCUUCACUACUCCCUGCCCUUCUGCCUUCACUACCCAUACUCGUCCCUAGAACACUAAGCUCAGCCCGGCCUCAGGACCUUUGCACCAGCCACUGCUUCUCCCUGGAGUCCUCCUUCCUCAGAUCUCCACGUGGCUGGCUCCUUUGCAUUAUUUACAGCCUGGUGCACCUUCUCAGCUAAAGUAGCACCCUCUCCCUGCAGGCAAAAUUCACUGUACCAUUCAUUUUCCUCAAGGCUCCUGCCACCAUAUGUAAUCACUUAUUUGUUUGUGUUUAUUGUCUGUUGCUCCCACAAGUAUGUAAGCUCCAAGAGGACAGGGACUUUGAUGUCUGGGGUCACCACUGCAUUCCAGGCACACAGCAGGCACUCAGUGACGUCUGCUGAGUAAAUCAGAGGAACGAAGAAUGAGACACAGAGAAAGAGUCAAAUUAGAACCCUCUGUGGAGCCUAUGAAGAGCAAUCUAGAAAUUUUCAGACGAACUGAAACAUUUUUCAGGGCUGUGUACAUACGAGGCAGAAGAAAGGUUACUGGCUGCUAUGGAGAAAGAGUGCCACAGAGAUUAGCCACCAGCUGCCAAUCAAGCCAACACCGAGCAAGUGUGCGACCUGGACAGGUCGCCCAGCCUGCUACGGCCGCGGCCUCGCGCUCUGAACGGGGACAGUAACACCUGUCUCAUGAGCUUGCUGAGAGGAUUCAGUGAGACCACCCGUGAGAGCCUCCUCCUAGCACGUGGUAAGCGUGCAACAAAGAACCAGUGCUGCGGGUAAGGAAGCAUGACCAGCAGCCUUUUCUUUUAAAGCAGCAGUUCUCAACCUUGGCCAAGAACUAGAACUUGCCCACUGCGCCCCCUCACCCUGCAGAGAUUUACAAAAUCCCGAUGUCUGGUCCCAACCCCAGAGCCUCACUGAAUUGGUCCGGAAUGCAGGCAGGACAAGGGGAUUUUAAAAAGCACCCCUGAAGAUUCUAACGUGCAGCCAGGGUUGAAAACCGUUGCCUUAAAGACAUCUACAGAGUAAGUUCUUAGUCAGAAGGACCUGCCAAAAAUAGAUUCUGGAAUGACAGCCACUUCUCUUUGAAAGAACCCAAGCCUGUCUGGUGAUUAAGAGCCUGUGGAGAGAUACUAUUUCCCCACAUUCACAAGCAGCAGGAUGGAUUCUCCCCUGGGGCUGGCUCUGCCCCCUCCCCACCCGCUCCAUCUUCUCACACACAAUUAGACCUUAAAGAAGAGUUCAGAAAUCUUCGACAAGGGAAUUCUACCCCAGGGCCUUGAAGCACAUUCGAGUCUCCCCUUUCCUAAGACAACUUCCAAAACCAGCUCCCUCCUUCCUUCCAGACUGCAGGUGGCUGACUCCCACUGAGUGCAUGCUGUGUUCCAGGCAGAUGAUGCUUUACCGGCAGGGAUAACUGAGUGGGAAAGCACUCAGCAGGCUGAUCAGCCCGGAUUACAGCCUAAGCCUGGCUGGAAACCAGCACGAGACCAAGGUCACCACGGCCAACAUGGCGGCAGCGACCCACACCACAGGCAAGGAGCCCAGGAAGAAAUGCCACCCCUGCAAAGGACGCACACACUUGAGGUGCCAGUUCAGUCGGAUGACUUAACCAGCUUCUUUGGGAGAACGGCCAGUGCUGAUGUCACUGCUUUACGAAAAAUAUUUCCGUAAAUGGCUUUAAAAAUGUGCUUUUAAAUGCCUGAGUAUGCAGAGGUAGCAGGGCUUCUACAGCACAGAUUUAGCCUGUUCCGAAUUUCCUCCCAUCAAAUGGCCAGGGAAACUCUGGCCCCUUUCAGUGCUAUGAAUUCCCAGGACAGACGCGGCACCUGUGUAAGUCUUCUGAAUACAUUUACUGAUUACCCACUUUUUAAAAAAAAUUUCUGAUUAUCUACUUCUGAACAUCAGGAUUAGACCAUGAGUCUCCUGUUGGGUUUUUCUAGAGCAGUUUAUACUCAG